GGAUCCAUCAAGCUUGCUUGGUGGUGAGAGUGGCGAACGGGUGAGUAAUGCGUGACCGACCUGCCCCAUACACCGGAAUAGCUCCUGGAAACGGGUGGUAAUGCCGGAUGCUCCAGUUGAUCGCAUGGUCUUCUGGGAAAGCUUUCGCGGUAUGGGAUGGGGUCGCGUCCUAUCAGCUUGACGGCGGGGUAACGGCCCACCGUGGCUUCGACGGGUAGCCGGCCUGAGAGGGCGACCGGCCACAUUGGGACUGAGAUACGGCCCAGACUCCUACGGGAGGCAGCAGUGGGGAAUAUUGCACAAUGGGCGCAAGCCUGAUGCAGCGACGCCGCGUGAGGGAUGGAGGCCUUCGGGUUGUAAACCUCUUUUAUCGGGGAGCAAGCGAGAGUGAGUUUACCCGUUGAAUAAGCACCGGCUAACUACGUGCCAGCAGCCGCGGUAAUACGUAGGGUGCAAGCGUUAUCCGGAAUUAUUGGGCGUAAAGGGCUCGUAGGCGGUUCGUCGCGUCCGGUGUGAAAGUCCAUCGCUUAACGGUGGAUCCGCGCCGGGUACGGGCGGGCUUGAGUGCGGUAGGGGAGACUGGAAUUCCCGGUGUAACGGUGGAAUGUGUAGAUAUCGGGAAGAACACCAAUGGCGAAGGC
rnacentral:rRNA from 1 species